UACAGAGGGUGCAAGCGUUGUUCGGAAUUAUUGGGCGUAAAGCGCGUGUAGGCGGCUUUGCAAGUCGGGUGUGAAAGCCCUCAGCUCAACUGAGGAAGUGCACCCGAAACUGCGGAACUAGAGUCUCGGAGAGGAUCGUGGAAUUCUCGGUGUAGAGGUGAAAUUCGUAGAUAUCGAGAGGAACACCGGUGGCGAAGGCGGCGAUCUGGACGGUGACUGACGCUGAGACGCGAAAGCGUGGGGAGCAAACAGG
rnacentral:rRNA from 1 species